GAUGAACGCUAGCUACAGGCUUAACACGUGCAAGUCGAGGGGCAGCAUGAACUUAGCUUGCUAAGUUUGAUGGCGACCGGCGCACGGGUGAGUAACACGUAUCCAACCUGCCGAUGACUCGGGGAUAGCCUUUCGAAAGAAAGAUUAAUACCCGAUGGCAUAGUUCUUCCGCAUGGUAGAACUAUUAAAGAAUUUCGGUCAUCGAUGGGGAUGCGUUCCAUUAGGUUGUUGGCGGGGUAACGGCCCACCAAGCCUUCGAUGGAUAGGGGUUCUGAGAGGAAGGUACACCACAUUGGAACUGAGACACGGUCCAAACUCCUACGGGAGGCAGCAGUAAGGAAUAUUGGUCAAUGGACGAGAGUCUGAACCAGCCAAGUAGCGUGAAGGAUGACUGCCCUAUGGGUUGUAAACUUCUUUUAUACGGGAAUAAGGUGAGGCACGUGUGCCUUUUUGUAUGUACCGUAUGAAUAAGGAUCGGCUAACUCCGUG
rnacentral:rRNA from 1 species